rnacentral:rRNA from 1 species
UACGUAGGGUGCAAGCGUUGUCCGGAAUUACUGGGCGUAAAGGGCGCGUAGGCGGUGCUCUAAGUUAGAUGUGAAAACUCUGGGCUCAACCCAGAGCCUGCAUCUAAAACUGGAGUGCUAGAGUUCUGGAGGGGGUAGCGGAAUUCCUGGUGUAGCGGUGAAAUGCGUAGAUAUCAGGAGGAACACCGGUGGCGAAGGCGGCUACCUGGACAGAAACUGACGCUGAGGCGCGAAAGCUAGGGGAGCAAACAGG